rnacentral:rRNA from 1 species
UGAGGAAUAUUGGUCAAUGGGCGGUAGCCUGAACCAGCCAAGUCGCGUGAGGGAAGACGGCCCUACGGGUUGUAAACCUCUUUUGCCGGGGAGCAACUGCGGCCACGUGUGGCCGAGCGGAGAGUACCCGGAGAAAAAGCAUCGGCUAACUCCGUGCCAGCAGCCGCGGUAAUACGGAGGAUGCGAGCGUUAUCCGGAUUUAUUGGGUUUAAAGGGUGCGUAGGCGGCGUUCCAAGUCAGCGGUAAAAUUGCGGGGCUCAACCCCGCCGAGCCGUUGAAACUGGCGCGCUUGAGUGGGCGAGAAGUAUGCGGAAUGCGUGGUGUAGCGGUGAAAUGCAUAGAUAUCACGCAGAACCCCGAUUGCGAAGGCAGCAUACCGGCGCCCUACUGACGCUGAAGCACGAAAGCGUGGGUAUCGAACAGG